GGCGCCCGGGGGGCCCCUUCCGGCCGAGGCCGCUUCCUGCGCGGCUGGGAAGGCGCCUGUCCCGCCGCCGCCGGGGCCUAGAAACCCACACGCGGCCCCCACCACAACCGCAAAUCCAGUGAGGGGCGGGCAGGACGGGGCCGCGCAGCCUCCUCCUCUCCCCUGGCGGGCCCCCAGGACAGGGACGCCAUGCAACACACGCCGGGACACAGUGACAGGCAGCCCCUAAGCAACAUGGGUUUCUAUACAUGUUAGGAUUAUGAGGCCCCAGAGGCUCACACGGGGCAUAGACCGCAGGCAGCGUGUCCCGGGCCCCACGUGUGCACGCUCGCCGUAGCACUCCAGCGGAGGGAUGAUUGGCAAGCAGCACAGCCACCCCAUGACAUUGCACCCUGUUCCCGCCCAGGGCCGGCAAGGCUGGGAGCCAGCAGCUUCAUCUUCCAGCACCCCAGCUUCGGGAUGCCUGCUCCACAGUGCCUGAGAUGGGCGGCCCUGCAGGUGGGAGCUAUGCCUUAUGACUACUGGCCGUGUUGCUGCCAGCGCCAAGCCCAGGGGUUCCCAUUAAUCCCAGAGGGAAGAAGAGUGAGUUCCCAGGGGGACACUGACAGCCACCACCAUAGCCGAGUGGCCCAAGUGGACGCCUCGGUUACUGGACCAGUCGCAGUCCUGUACCGUUUGACAGGUGGCAUGGUGGGUCACACAUCACUUCUGUGAGUCUCCUGCCAAAGGGCCAUGCCCUGCCUCUGAGCAUGAUGAAACCUCAGACACGCACAUGGAGGGACUUUGGACGGGGUGGGCCCAGAGCCUUCGAAGGGAGCAGGGUCACAGCUGUCAGGGAAAGGCCAAGGAAUGUUCUGGACCAAUGGAGACCAAAGAGAACAGGAUCACUCAGAGCAGCGUGUAGCCCUGGGCUGAAUCUUAUCACCACAAGGACAUUACUGGGACAAGCAGAAAGCCUCAGGUGUGGUCUAGGGCCAGACGGCAGCUGCCUUGCCUGACCUGUGGCUGUGGUGACAUCAGAGAAUGUCUUGCUUUGGGGUGUGUUGGAGCAGUGUCUGCAAUGAACUCUCAAAUGCUUCUGGGGUUGGGGUUGGGGGCAGUUCCUACACUACUGUUGCAACUUUUCUAUAAGCUUGAUUCUGUUAGAAAUUUAUUUUUAAGAAUGUUUAUGGGGAGGAUGCAUGAAUCCUCUGUUGAGGCCUGUUGAGCUUGAGCUGCCCAGCAGAGUGGGCUCCUGCCAUGGGGCAGCGCCGGGAAAGGACUGAAAGCACACAGCAGGGCACCAAAUGCAUCUGCGGUGCCUGUAAACACAAAGGCAGGGAGCCAGACUCCUUCCUGGUGCAGCACAGAGAACAGAGACGUGCUCCUUAAAUGUUCUUGGGAAGGAAGCCUCUCGGAGCAGGGAACGGCACCGUGUGACUCCUGGGUGAGCAGGUGGAUACCGAGCAGCCUAAGUGAGGCUCGGGGCUGGGCUCACGCCCACUGAGGGCUGGGAAGUAAGGCCAGUGUGGGACAGAGUCAAGGUCACAGACCCUUCCAGGAACGGGGGCUGGAGCUGGUCAUGACAAGGUGACCUAGAAGGGGCUGUCUGGUUCCUAAAGGGGACAUAGAGACCCCACCCACUAACCUGCAGGUGGAGCCCAGACCAAGACAGGGGGACAGGGCACCAGGAAAAUGCAGCACAGCGGAACAGAGGAUGCGUCCCACUAGAUCAGAGACUAUGGGGAGCCUGCUGGGAAGUGUGAGAGGAGUCAGCUACAGGCGCAGAGAAAGCCCAGCAAGGGAAAAAGUAAAGCAAGGCAAAUAUUAACUCCAGGAAAAACAGAGAGAAAAUCUAAACAGUGUUUGCUCCUUGGCUAAGCAGUGAACAGUAUUUACAUGGUUAUAGUAGUAUAAACAACUUGACCAAAAAUGAUGAAAUAGCUCAUUGGGGACAAAGGAGAACAGAGUGCAGACUGGGGGCCCCCCUGGCAACUUCUCACAGUGCCCCCAACUGGUACACAAAGAACAAGCAGCAAUAGCACAUAACUGAGAAACAGGGAGAAAAAUCAGACAAGACGGAUAACGGCACUGACAGCGGCUGCCGGGCCCCAGGCCCCGGGUCAGCAGCAGCCCUGCGAGUGCUUCAGACUCACUGAGUGUCCCGGCCUUUUGGGUUCUUUCGGUUCCCUUUAUGUAUGCAACUGUCUUUCUUUAGUAAGAAUUAAAACACAACGCUAAACUAAAAAUAAGUAACAGAAAACUGAACUCACAAUCCCACCACAAAACACUGCAGUUUGGGACGUUAAAGAACACACUUUAAAUAAGUCAUUGAUUAAAGAUGGAAUCAAGAUGG